GCCGAAAUAGCUCAGUUGGGAGAGCGUUAGACGGGAAGAUCUAAAGGUCCCUGGUUCAAUCCCGGGGUUUCGGCA
rnacentral:tRNA from 1 species